rnacentral:rRNA from 1 species
GACGAACGCUGGCGGCGUGCUUAACACAUGCAAGUCGAACGGUGAAGGGGUCUGCUUUUGUGGGCCCUGGAUGAGUGGCGCACGGGUGAGUAACACGUGAGUAACCUGCACCCUUCUUCUGGAUAACCGCAUGAAAGUGUGGCUAAUACGGGAUAUUCUGGGUCUGUCGCAUGAUGUGUCUAGGAAAGAUUGCGCCUUUGGGUGUUUUUGGUGGGGGAUGGGCUCGCGGCCUAUCAGCGUGUUGGUGGAGUGAUGGCCUACCAAGGCGGUGACGGGUAGCCGGCCUGGGAGGGUGGACGGUCACACUGGGACUGAGGCACGGCCCAGACUCGUACGGGAGGGAGCAGUGGGGAAUAUUGCACGAUGGGCGCAAGCCUGAUGCAGCGACGCCGCGUGAGAGAUGGAUGCGUUCGGGUUGUAAACCUCUUUCGCCAGUGAAGCAGGCCUGCUCCUUGUGGGUGGGUUGACGGUAGCUGGAUAAGAAGCGCCGGCUAACUACGUG